rnacentral:rRNA from 1 species
UUCGGGUUGUAAACCUCUUUCAGCACAGACGAAGCGCAAGUGACGGUAUGUGCAGAANAAGGACCGGCCAACUACGUGCCAGCAGCCGCGGUNAUACGUAGGGUCCGAGCGUUGUCCGGAAUUAUUGGGCGUAAAGGGCUCGUAGGCGGUUUGUCGCGUCGGGAGUGAAAACNCCGGGCUUAACUCGGUGCUUGCUUUCGAUACGGGCAGACUANAGGUAUUCAGGGGAGAACGGAAUUCCUGGUGUANCGGUGAAAUGCGCANAUAUCANGAGGAACACCGGUGGCGAAGGCGGUUCUCUGGNAAUAUCCUGACNCUGAGGAGCGAAAGUGUGGGGAGCGAACAGGAUUAGAUACCCUGGUANUCCACNNCGUAAACGUUGGGCNNNNNGUGUGGGGUCCAUUCCACGGAUUCCNUGCCGC